UACGUAGGUGGCAAGCGUUGUCCGGAAUUAUUGGGCGUAAAGCGUGCGCAGGUGGUUCCUUAAGUCUGAUGUGAAAGCCCACGGCUCAACCGUGGAGGGUCAUUGGAAACUGGGGGACUUGAGUGCAGAAGAGGAAAGUGGAAUUCCAAGUGUAGCGGUGAAAUGCGUAGAGAUUUGGAGGAACACCAGUGGCGAAGGCGACUUUCUGGUCUGUAACUGACACUGAGGCGCGAAAGCGUGGGGAGCAAACAGG
rnacentral:rRNA from 1 species